rnacentral:rRNA from 1 species
UGAGUAAUGCCUAGGAAUCUGCCUGGUAGUGGGGGACAACGUUUCGAAAGGAACGCUAAUACCGCAUACGUCCUACGGGAGAAAGCAGGGGACCUUCGGGCCUUGCGCUAUCAGAUGAGCCUAGGUCGGAUUAGCUAGUUGGUGAGGUAAUGGCUCACCAAGGCGACGAUCCGUAACUGGUCUGAGAGGAUGAUCAGUCACACUGGAACUGAGACACGGUCCAGACUCCUACGGGAGGCAGCAGUGGGGAAUAUUGGACAAUGGGCGAAAGCCUGAUCCAGCCAUGCCGCGUGUGUGAAGAAGGUCUUCGGAUUGUAAAGCACUUUAAGUUGGGAGGAAGGGCAUUAACCUAAUACGUUAGUGUUUUGACGUUACCGACAGAAUAAGCACCGGCUAACUCUGUGCCAGCAGCCGC